UGGGGAAUUUUCCGCAAUGGGCGAAAGCCUGACGGAGCAAUACCGCGUGAGGGAGGAAGGCUUUUGGGUUGUAAGCCUCUUUUCUCAAGGAAGAAGUUCUGACGGUACUUGAGGAAUCAGCAUCGGCUAACUCCGUGCCAGCAGCCGCGGUAAUACGGAGGAUGCAAGCGUUAUCCGGAAUGAUUGGGCGUAAAGCGUCCGCAGGUGGUUGUGCAAGUCUACUGUCAAAGACCGAAGCUCAACUUCGGGCAGGCAGUGGAAACUGAAGCACUAGAGUACGGUAGGGGUAGAGGGAAUUUCCAGUGUAGCGGUGAAAUGCGUAGAGAUUGGAAAGAACACCAGUGGCGAAGGCGCUCUACUGGACCGUAACCGACACUCAGGGACGAAAGCUAGGGGAGCGAAAGGGAUUAGAUACCCCGGUAGUCC
rnacentral:rRNA from 1 species